GUGGAAUGUAAUGUAUGUCCAUACUUUAAUCUUUACAAGGCCAUCAGGGAAAUGCAGAUUUCAAGCUUUGAUGUAGAAUAUUUGAAUGAUUUUCUGCACAAUUUUAUUAGGUACACCUGUUAAACUGCUCUUUAUCACAAAUAUUUAAUCAACCAAUUACAUGGCAGCACUUAUGUAGACAUGGUCAAACCGAGCAUUAGAAUAGAUAAGAAGAAGUUGACUUGUUGGUCUGACUAUUUCAAAUCUACCGGAUUUUGAUUUCAGAUAGUAUGGUCAGACUUAAACAACAUAAAAACAUUGAUCCAUCCCGGUUAUGUCAGUUCAGGAUGUAGUGGUGUAGGAGAUAUUCUCUUGGCAUCCUAUCAUGUCAAUAUGAACCAAAAUUGCUAAGUAAGGUUUCCAGUGCUUUGUUUAUUCUAAGAAUUAGGCAUUUCUGAAAAACUGAGAAGAAGAGGAAAAAAAAAAACAUAUCAUCAGCUAAUUAUUGUAGUAAAUGACUUCAGCUUCGCCCAAAAUUUUGAUUUCUUGUUUCUCAAGGAUUUCUGACAAGAUUAACCAACCUUUCACAUGUUACUAGCACGUCCUUCCUAUCCCAGAUAACAUGCAUUCAGAAAUAUAUUUGAGCUAAAGAACAAAAACACCCAUGAACAUAAUAAGUCAAGCUGUCUGCAGACAUACUGUGUUUUUUAAAGGUUUAUUCUGAAAGAAAGAUGCUUCUCAAGAUGAUAAUCAGUCAUUCUUAGAAAGUAUCUAAAUACAGGCAACUGAGGUAUUUCUGUCUUUCUACAAGUGGACUGAAAGUGAGAGAAAGAAAACCGAGUGACCAAUAAAGACACAAAAACAGCUAGCACAAAUAGCAUUGAGAAUAUCUGUCUAUAUAUAUAUAUAUAUAUAUAUAUAUAUAGAUAUGUAUAGAGAUAUAUAUAUAUAUAUAUAGAUAUAUAUAUAUCUCUAUAUAGAUAUCGAUACAUAUAUCUCCCGCUCGCCCCUGCAGGCAGUUUAGCUUUCAAGCUGUAGUGCUCUACCAAAGGCCUGGGAGCUUGA
ensembl:lncRNA